rnacentral:sRNA from 1 species
UUUUAGCCCAGAUAGAAACGUAAACCCCGGACGAGUGCAAGUUAAUAUUUCUUGAUGUAAAAGAGCGACUUUAGAAGCUCCUUUUAUGUCUUAGAAAUACAACUAGCAAGAGGAGGAGUUGAAGUGGAUAGCUGGAAAUAGC